rnacentral:rRNA from 1 species
CUAGGCAAAAUGGCACCGUAACUUCGGGAGAAGGUGCGCCGGCUAGGGUGAAGGAUUUACUCCGUAAGCUCUGGCUGGUCGAAGAUACCAGGCCGCUGCGACUGUUUAUUAAAAACACAGCACUCUGCAAACACGAAAGUGGACGUAUAGGGUGUGACGCCUGCCCGGUGCCGGAAGGUUAAUUGAUGGGGUUAGCGCAAGCGAAGCUCUUGAUCGAAGCCCCGGUAAACGGCGGCCGUAACUAUAACGGUCCUAAGGUAGCGAAAUUCCUUGUCGGGUAAGUUCCGACCUGCACGAAUGGCGUAACGAUGGCGGCGCUGUCUCCACCCGAGACUCAGUGAAAUUGAAAUCGCUGUGAAGAUGCAGUGUAUCCGCGGCUAGACGGAAAGACCCCGUGAACCUUUACUGUAGCUUUGCACUGGACUUUGAGCCUGCUUGUGUAGGAUAGGUGGGAGGCUUUGAAGCGUGGACGCCAGUUCGCGUGGAGCCAUCCUUGAAAUACCACCCUGGCAUGCUUGAGGUUCUAACUCUGGUCCGUGAUCCGGAUCGAGGACAGUGUAUGGUGGGCAGUUUGACUGGGGCGGUCUCCUCCUAAAGAGUAACGGAGGAGUACGAAGGUGCGCUCAGACCGGUCGGAAAUCGGUCGCAGAGUAUAAAGGCAAAAGCGCGCUUGACUGCGAGACAGACACGUCGAGCAGGUACGAAAGUAGGUCUUAGUGAUCCGGUGGUUCUGUAUGGAAGGGCCAUCGCUCAACGGAUAAAAGGUACUCCGGGGAUAACAGGCUGAUACCGCCCAAGAGUUCAUAUCGACGGCGGUGUUUGGCACCUCGAUGUCGGCUCAUCACAUCCUGGGGCUGAAGCCGGUCCCAAGGGUAUGGCUGUUCGCCAUUUAAAGUGGUACGCGAGCUGGGUUUAGAACGUCGUGAGACAGUUCGGUCCCUAUCUGCCGUGGACGUUUGAGAUUUGAGAGGGGCUGCUCCUAGUACGAGAGGACCGGAGUGGACGAACCUCUGGUGUUCCGGUUGUCACGCCAGUGGCAUUGCCGGGUAGCUAUGUUCGGAAAAGAUAACCGCUGAAAGCAUCUAAGCGGGAAACUUGCCUCAAGAUGAGAUCUCACUGGGAACUUGAUUCCCCUGAAGGGCCGUCGAAGACUACGACGUUGAUAGGCUGGGUGUGUAAGCGUUGUGAGGCGUUGAGCUAACCAGUACUAAUUGCCCGUGAGGCUUGACCAU